rnacentral:rRNA from 1 species
AACGAACGCUGGCGGCAGGCCUAACACAUGCAAGUCGAACGCAUCCUUCGGGGUGAGUGGCGCACGGGUGAGUAACACGUGGGAAUGUACCCUUUGGUUCGGAAUAACGUUUGGAAACGAACGCUAAUACCGGAUGAGCCCUACGGGGGAAAGAUUUAUCGCCAAAGGAGCAGCCCGAGUGUGAUUAGCUAGUUGGUGGGGUAAAGGCCUACCAAGGCGACGAUCAGUAGCUGGUCGGAGAGCAUGAUCAGCCACACUGGGACUGAGACACGGCCCAGACUCCUACGGGAGGCAGCAGUGGGGAAUAUUGGACAAUGGGCGCAAGCCUGAUCCAGCCAUGCCGCCUGAGUGAUGAAGGCCUUCGGGUUGUAAAGCUCUUUCGCACGCGACGAUGAUGACGGUAGCGUGAGAAGAAGCCCCGGCUAACUUCGUGCCAGCCGCCGCAGUAA